CGGGAGACAAAGUUUACAUGUUAAGGAUGUGGCUUCUUUUUCGUGUCUACAAUGCUCCAACAUAAACUGUUCGUUUAAAUCUUCUUUUUCAAUUUAUUGUAUUGCCAAAGAUGGUUGUCUACUGCACAAUAACU
rnacentral:snoRNA from 1 species